UUUUAUAUUUUAAUGCUUUGCAAAUAUUUUUAUUUAGUAACACGGAUUUUAUGUUUGUACACUGGGAUCAAAAUGUUGACUAAAUAUUAAAAACGAAGUUUUUAUUUGCAAACCAUCAGGAAAAAAAAACUUUAAAAAUCAAAUAUGGAGGUUUCACAAUAAGAAAAAAAAGUGCUUGGAGUGAAAUAGUUGAAUCACGUUUCUUUUUCGAUUAUAUAAACAACUUUAUUUUCGUAAAUAUCAGAAUUUGAUGAAUGGAAAUUGGAUACAUUACAAAGUUUGUAUUAUGAAUUCUAUUAGAACUGAAGUUGUACACUUUAUUCUCGCCUAUUUUGAGAAAUGUGAUAAACAUAUCAGCAUAUGCGAGUUGGAAAAAGCGAGCAAUUCCAAUGUGCUAUAAAAUUCAUAGGACAAGUUAUGAAUAAAUUUUAUGUACUUGAAGUGAAGUAAUUGCAAAUUUAUGAUAGCUUUCAAUAAGUUAAAAAAUUUAAUCGUGAAGGUGGAAAUACAAUCUUAUUGCAAACUUGAAUACAAUGAAAACAAAAUAAGAACAAAAUAAAAAUGAAAUGAUUUUUCAUUUUUUUGAAAAAUAAAAUGACAAUAUUAAAAAUA